UAAAUGUCAUUUACUUACUUCACUGAACCAUAAAUGUCGAGCAACCUAAUGCUCGUACUUUAUCAAAAGAGAUGUAUCAUACGACCCUGCUGAAAAGUCAAUCAGGAUUGUUGCAGAUGUAGAUGCACCAAUAUGCUCUUUUUCACCUAUCAACAUCGAUGGAGCACCCUGUCCUAAACCACAAUCUAUAAUCCUACCGUCUUUGCCUCGUGUUCG
rnacentral:lncRNA from 1 species